UGGGGAAUUUUGGACAAUGGGCGAAAGCCUGAUCCAGCGAUGCCGCGUGUGUGAAGAAGGCCUUCGGGUUGUAAAGCACUUUUGUCCGGAAAGAAAUCCUUGGCUCUAAUACAGUCAGGGGAUGACGGUACCGGAAGAAUAAGCACCGGCUAACUACGUGCCAGCAGCCGCGGUAAUACGUAGGGUGCAAGCGUUAAUCGGAAUUACUGGGCGUAAAGCGUGCGCAGGCGGUUUGCUAAGACCGAUGCGAAAUCCCCGGGCUCAACCUGGGAACUGCAUUGGUGACUGGCAGGCUAGAGUAUGGCAGAGGGGGGUAGAAUUCCCACGUGUAGCAGUGAAAAUGCGUAGAGAUGUGGAGGAAUACCGAUGGCGAAGGCAGCCCCCUGGGCCAAUACUGACGCUCAUGCACGAAAGGCGUGGGGGAGCAAACAGGAUUAGAUACCCUGGUAGUCCACGCCCUAAACGAUGUCAACUAGUUGUUGGGGAUUCAUUUCCUUAGUAACGUAGCUAACGCGUGAAGUUGACCGCCUGGGGAGUACGGUCGCAAUGAUUAAAAACUCAAAGGAAUUGACGGGGGUUCAAUAG
rnacentral:rRNA from 1 species